GCCGAGCUUAGUAAUAUGAGCUUGUGAUCCAACAUGGGGGCAUUAAAGGUGGAAUUUG
rnacentral:sRNA from 1 species